CUCUGUCUUUUGGAACAGAUCAAGUUCCUACCUUCAACUUCAGUCUAUUGGCAUCCUAUAUACACCUCAUUUGGCUCUGUCCUCUUCAAAAGGCCAGAUUAAAAGACACCUGGUGAGAAAAUAUUAGUGGAACACUUCUGAAAACACGCUAAGAAUACUCUGGCAUUACAGAGAAGUUGGAAAAAUAUUCAAGAGAACACCAUGAUCCAGAGCAAGGAGAGGGCUAAAGAAAUUCUCUGAUCAGCCUUCCCAUCCACAUAUCUGAUAACAACAUCUGUGUGCAAGUGUGUGCUACAAAUGGACGGAGCCUC